rnacentral:rRNA from 1 species
UACGUAGGGUGCAAGCGUUGUCCGGAAUUAUUGGGCGUAAAGGGCUCGUAGGCGGUCCAUCGCGUCGGGAGUGAAAAGCUGGGGCUCAACCCCAGUCCUGCUUUCGAUACGGGUGGACUAGAGGUAUGCAGGGGAGAACGGAAUUCCUGGUGUAGCGGUGAAAUGCGCAGAUAUCAGGAGGAACACCGGUGGCGAAGGCGGUUCUCUGGGCAUUACCUGACGCUGAGGCACGAAAGCGUGGGGAGCAAACAGG